GUAUAACUGUGUUCUUCUUAAUCAGUACUUUACACAGCCAUACACGAUACAAAAGCACUCAGGAAUUACUCCUGGCAGUGCUUGGGGGACCAUAU
rnacentral:snoRNA from 1 species